rnacentral:rRNA from 1 species
UACGUAGGGCGCGAGCGUUAUCCGGAAUUAUUGGGCGUAAAGAGCUCGUAGGCGGUUUGUCACGUCUGCUGUGAAAACUGGAGGCUCAACCUCCAGCCUGCAGUGGGUACGGGCAGACUAGAGUGCGGUAGGGGGAGAUUGGAAUUCCUGGUGUAGCGGUGGAAUGCGCAGAUAUCAGGAGGAACACGAUGGCGAAGGCAGAUCUCUGGGCCGAUACUGACGCUGAGGAGCGAAAGCGUGGGGAGCAAACAGG